UUCUAUGGUUUCUCUCCAGUAUGACAUCUAUAAUGACAUACAAGAUUUGCUUUUUGACUAAAAACCUUGCCACAUUCAUUACAUGUGUAAGGUUUCUUUCCAUUAUGAAAUGCCUUAUGCAUUACAAGACCUGAAUUUUGAGCAAAGGUCUUGCCACACUUAUUACACUUGUAAGGUUUCUCCCCAGUAUGAACUCUCUGAUGUUGUGCAAGGCAUGAAUCAUGCCAGAAAACCUUGUCACAAACCUUACACUCAUAAGGUUUCCCUCCAGUAUGAACUCUUCAGGUGUGAAAGGCAUGAAUUAUCCCAGAAAGCCUUGUGACAAACCUUACAUUUGUAUGGUUUUUCUCCAGUAUGAAUUCUCCUAUGUGUUUCAAGUUGUGAUCUGCAACUGUAAACUUUGUCACAUUCUUCUCAUUUGUAAGGUUUC
rnacentral:lncRNA from 1 species